rnacentral:rRNA from 1 species
GAUGAACGCUGGCGGUAUGCUUAACACAUGCAAGUCGAACGGACUCUUCGGAGUUAGUGGCGGACGGGUGAGUAACGCGUGAGAAUCUGGCUUUGGGUUCGGGACAACCACUGGAAACGGUGGCUAAUACCGGAUGUGCCGAGAGGUAAAAGAGAAAUUGCCUGAAGAUGAGCUCGCGUCUGAUUAGCUAGUUGGUGAGGUAAAGGCUCACCAAGGCAGCGAUCAGUAGCUGGUCUGAGAGGAUGACCAGCCACACUGGGACUGGGACACGGCCCAGACGCGUACGGGAGGCAGGAGUGGGGAAGUCUCCGCCAUGGGCGAAAGCCUGACGGAGCAAUACCGAGUGAGGGAAGAAGGCUCUUGGGUUGUAGAACUAUGUGCUUAGGGAAGAACAGAAUGACGGUACCUAAGGAAGCAGCAUCGGCUAACUCCGUG